UGAGCAAUCUGCCCUUCUCUUCGGAAUAAGCGUGGGAAACCGCGUCUAAUGCCGAAUACGACCUCCUUUCGCAUGAUCGGAGGUGGAAAGCUCCGGCGGAGAAGGAUGAGCUCGCGGCCUAUCAGCUAGUUGGUGUGGGUAACGCCACCAAGGCGACGACGGGUAGCCGGCCUGAGAGGGUGACCGGCCACACUGGGACUGAGACACGGCCCAGACUCCUACGGGAGCAGCAGG
rnacentral:rRNA from 1 species